ensembl:lncRNA
AUGUCAAAGUUUCUAUAUCUUAAAUCUCAGUUUAGACUGUUUAAAAUACAUUAUGCUAAUUCCCUUAACCUCUGUCAUCUAAACCCUUUCUUGAUUCAGCAAAAGCAGUCUUCAUUUUUAGCCACCACCAUAUCUUGUAAUCAUCUUAUGCCAUGCCUAAUGACCUGCAUGAGUAAAAACUAUGAUAUAGACAUUAGUUCAAUAUCAUCUCAGCCUCAUAAGAAAUUUUGUCUCAAAAUAAUGGCUGUCAUCACAAGGUCUCAGAUGGUUCUUGAAAGCCCAUUGCCAUUAACUCUUUAUAAAUAAGCUUCUUUUCCUCAGGGUGUGAUCUCCUGGCAUAGUUGCAUCAAGUUGUGGACGCUUGUCACAACAAGCCAUCAAGGAAUGCGGUUGCUGGUGAUCAGGUCUGGAGGAGCUCACAUUUUUGAGGCAGAUUGCUGUACUUCCUACAGUUGCCCUCUUAAUGAUGCUCUAGGCCUAUCAAGCAUCCGCUCAACUCCACUACCAUCUCACAUAUAACACCUCCCUUCGGGGCAGGUGCCCAGUGGCGGUGACCCCCUGCCUUAGGUUGUCCCCUAUUGGCCAGAAGAGGAUCUUACCCGUCACUGAGAAAUCACCUCAUGCACACUGGUAACCGCUCUUUCCCGUUGCAACAUCCUCAACAGUGUUCUUCCAGAAUCCGGUAUUUCCUGCAGCUUAGGAAAGGUGCACUCAAGAACCAUGAGAGCCAUUGACACCACCUACUAGUGUUAAAACAUUGAGACAGGUUAAUCACACUAAUAUAUAAUUUUAUAUCUUCAAAACAUCACGCUGAGAUUACUCAGUGAAUUUAGAUGUCACACCCGUCCAUUCUGCUACUUCUGUAGCCAGAGCCAUCGGGCCCUGUAUGAUGGUGAAGACUAAAAAUAAGACAGAUAAGUUACUGGUCACAGAACAAAUAGCAAUACAACUUUUUAACUAUUCAAAAUCAUUACCUCUAUAGCUCAGGGUCUGUAUUAUGAUUUUAAAGACCUCAUGUUUCUUCAACAAUUGCUCCUGAAUUGUUAUUCAUUAUUUUUACAAUCUCUUAUUCGUUAAAUGCAUUGGGCAGUUGAACAUUUAACUACCAAUUGCCCUCUUAAUGCAUUAAAUCUGAACUCCUUGUGUCAUGUCCUUUAACAUCUCAGUGUCUAUGGUUUGACUGAAACACUGUGCUUUACUAUAAAUAGCUUAUCACUUAAGACACAGGCUCAGAUAACAGCAUUUUAGCUGACUUUGAAUGAGAGAGAGAACUCUGAGGGAUUCGGGACUGGUAGCAAUGCAUUUUCAUUCAUUUUUAACAUAAUUUCAUCGUACUAUCAUUUUACUCUAGCCCAGCUUAAAACUUUGCACUAAACUUUUUUUUUUUUUACUUUAUUUUUGCAACUCAAAUGUUUCUCAGAGUUCUUUGCAGUCCCUGUCAUUACUUUUACAUCAACUUGUAUGUAUUCAUUCACUUAAUUCUGGCCAUGGCUUUGGAAUUUCAACAAUGGUUUUAAAUCUGUCAGGGGUUAUCUGACCCACAUAUGUUACUUCGGGUCAUGGUAGCUGUGCUUUCUUUAAAUUAACUUUGAAACCCCCGUUUAUGUUACUUGUUUACAACAUUAUCAUCUCAUAUGCAAACAAUAAUUUUUGACUGGAAAUUGGCAAUUUUUCAUUCAGAACAUGUCUCCGUUACUUUUACAGCUUAAACCAGAGUCAUGGUGGGGCUAGCCUGAGAUAAAAACAACUGCUUCAUUGCAGUCCAAGCAAUCUUAUCUUUUAAAGCAAAACAUAAGCUUCUACGUUUUUCCAAAAUGCUACUGCCAACUUGUGUGCCUACAGUCUUUUCACCAACCCAGAAUUCUGUUCAAUAUGCCUUGUCAGGACUUUCAACAAUUAUAUAGGAACUAGAACAGAUCAUAUGAUAUCAUUCUUUGUCAUUUAAACCUUCUAUGCACAAAGAAUCAGAUUAAAUCAUCACUCAGUUACUUCUGGGAUUCUUUUUAACAAAUAGGCACAUACAUUUAGAAAUUUUUAUCUCUCUGGUUCUUUCUUUGUUUAAAGCCAGUGAAGUGUUUGUUUUAACUUUCCAAUCAGAAUCAAAGCUCAGACUGACCAUUCUUUCCAUGAACUCAGAGAAUAUUUUAAAGUCAGAGCUUCAGAGCCAAACUGUUUACAGCAUUUGCUCUCCUCUGUCUCAUUAUUUCUAUCAGGGCUGAGCAAGUUACAUAAUUUGUCAGUCAUAUUUCUAUCAUAAACCAAAAAGAGAUUGAGGCGGCGAUCUUACCAACAGCACUUGACUUCUGCGUGAUGAAACUGCAAAGUAUAUUCCAGAAUUUCCAUAUACUGGUCCAAUCCAAUUAGGGUCAUGAAAACAAAAUUUUAGCUCUUUCGGGGCUGUUUCUGAUGCAUCCCAGAUCAAUCAAUCCUUUCCCUUAACCUAUAUAUCUAUCUGUAUGCGCAUAUAGAUUAUCACUAUUUAUUUUUAACUCUAAUUUUUCGGUAUUCUGUUCCCUAACCACUGACCUGGCCUAUUCACUAAAGCUCGGGGUACCCCUGUCUGUAAUGGUGGGUGGUCGAGAGUUGGAAGAGCGAUUUACGACUAGAACCCACGCCUAGCGUCUUACAUUCUUCUCUGUAUUUCCUAUACCCUUACUAUCGCUCUCCCGGCCGUAAAUGCACUUUGCCUUGGCUUGCUAUGCUUGACCCAGCACUGCCCUUUACGGCUUCACGUGCUCUUUGGCUCUCUGUGCUUGACCCAGCACUGCCCUUUUUUUACGGCUGGACGUGUCCCUUGGCUCUCGGUGCUUGGCUCUCGGUGCCAGCACUGCCCUUUAUGGGUUCACGUGCCUGUUAAGAAUGCAUUUUUAUCCCCCUUGGACUGUGCACACCUUUAAAAUUCACGUCUCUCUCUAAGACCUAAAGGUGUGCACUUGUACACCUGUAACUGUACACAUCUCUAAAUAUAAUAUUUUCCUAAGACCUACCGAUGUGCACUUGUACACCUUUAUCUCACAAGGUUACUUCAUUUACAAGUGUACCGUGACACCAGAUACCAACUCCACCCAGGAGCCUGGUGUCUAACCCCCUCACGUCUGAGUGAGUUUACCGUUCUUCCUUCUCUCGACCCCCUCCGCUUACAGACAGUCCCUAACCAGCAAUAUUAAAUAAAAUCUUUCCUUCCUUGGUUUGUUGAUUGAUC